rnacentral:rRNA from 1 species
GUCUAUGGCCAUGCUACCCUGAUCCUGUCUGAUCUUGGAAGUUAAGCAGGGUCGGGCCUGGUGAAUAUUUGGAUAGGAGAAUACCAAGGAAGACCAGGUGCUGUAGGUG